rnacentral:tRNA from 1 species
UCUCCAGUGGCGCAGUUGGUUAGCGCAUGGUACUUAUAGACAGUAAUUCAGUGAUGCUAAUCAUCAGUGUAGAUUCAGGUAGAAAAGAAAGAAAUGCCGAGGUCGCGAGUUCGAGCCUCGCCUGGAGAA